GCUCUAUCCCACCAACUACCACCUGACUGCAUCAUCAUUGGAGAGUGUAAUGUCAGCAUGGCAAAUGAAACGGAAAUCUGUAUCGGUUUGAACAG